AUGGCGCUACGCAGAGCGGCCUCCCUCGUCCUCAGGCAGCGCCUCCGGACCCUCGCCCCCGCUCCCGCGCCCAAGCCCCUAAACCCUCUGCUCCCGCAUCCCCGCCGCCACUACUCCCCGCGGCCGCCGCCCGCGCUCCCCGCGUCCGCCCGCGUCCUCGCGGAGGCGGCCGAGGAAGCGUUCGAGGCGGCCUCCACCACCACCGACCUCUUCGCCGCCUUCUCCCGCCUCGAGAACGCCGUCUCGCCCACCGACAAGCGGCUCGCCCUCGCCUGCCUCAAGCUCGGCCAGCACCUCGACUCCUCGGCCUCCGCCGACCCCUCCCGCGUCCUCGAGCUCGCGCUCCGCUCCGUCGGGAUCCUCGAGGCCGGGGGCGCCAGGUCCUCCGGGGCGUCGUCGGACUCCGACGCCGUCUCGCUCGCCAUGGCCCUCCACCUCGCCGGCUCCGCCUCCCUCGAUCUCACCCGCUUCCACGAUGCCCUCUCCUUCCUCUCCCGCUCCCUCCGCCUCCUCACCCCGCUUCUCCCGGCUAAAGACGCCGCCGUUGGGGAUGAGGGCGGCGACUCCGAUGCCGAAGGGUUCGACGUGAGGCCCGUGGCCCACGCUGUGCGGCUGCAGCUCGCCAACGUGAAGACGGCGCUGGGGAGGCGGGAGGAGGCGCUCGCCGACCUGCGCGCCAGCGUGGAGCUCAAGGAGUCCAUCCUGCCGCCGGGCAGCCGGGAGCUCGGCGCGGCCUACCGGGACCUGGCGGAGGCGCACGCCUCCGUGCUUGACUUCAAGCAGGCGCUGCCCUUCUGCCAGAAGGCGCUGGAGCUGCACGAGUCGACGCUGGGCAAGAACUCGGUGGAGCUUGCGCACGACAGGCGGCUGCUCGGUGUGAUAUACACUGGCCUGGAGCAGCACGAACAGGCGCUCGAGCAGAAUGAGAUGUCCCAGAAAGUGAUGAAGAAGUGGGGCGUGGCCGGCGCCGAUCUCAUUCAUGCUGAGAUUGACGCGGCAAACAUCAAGAUUGCGAUGGGGAAGUUUGAUGAGGCCAUAAGGGUGCUAAAGGCUGUCGCUAAGAAGGUGGAGAAGGACAGCGAUGCGCGAGCUCUAGUGUUCAUAUCGAUGGCCAAGGCGCUCGCCAACCAGGAGAAGGUCGGGCACACCAAGAGGUGCUUGGAGAUCGCUUGCGACAUUCUAGAAAAGAAGGAAGUGUCUGAACCUGACAAGGUGGCCGAAGCGUAUCUUGAAGUGUCCUCACUGUACGAGAUGGUGAACGAAUUUGACAAGGCAAUAUCUUUGAUGAAGAGGAGUUUGGGGAUGCUCGAGAGGAUCCCUCAAUCACAACACUUGGAGGGGAAUGUCGCAGCUAAGAUUGGAUGGUUAUUGCUUCUGACAGGGAAGGUGACCGAGUCCGUCCCAUAUUUGGAGGAUGCAGUGGAGAGGAUGAAAGAAAGUUUUGGGCCGAAGCAUUAUGGGGUAGGGUAUGUGUAUAACAACCUGGGGGCUGCGUACAUGGAGAUGGACCGCCCCCAGUCUGCUGCACAGAUGUUUGCACUGGCAAAGGAAGUCAUGGAUGUUUCCUUAGGGCCUCACCAUUCAGAUACAAUUGAGACCUGCCAGAGCCUCGCCAAUGCAUACAACACGAUGGGAAGCUAUGCCCUGGCUAUGGAGUUCCAAAAGCGAGUGAUUGAUUCAUGGCGAAACCAUGGUCCCAGUGGUGCGGACGAGCUCAGGGAAGCCAUUCGUCUCUACGAGCAGAUCAAGAUAAAGGCCCUAGCAUUCAUGUCACCUGGUGUUGAAGCAAUUGCGUUGCCUGAACCUCAGGAACAGGAAGUCGAUUCUGAUCCGGCGAAAAUCGCACAACAGUAA
rnacentral:rRNA from 1 species